rnacentral:misc_RNA from 1 species
AAAAUGCGAAAGCCAGUGCGAUUUGCAUGAACUGUGAGUCAUCAGGUAUUUGAACGCAACUUGCACUCUGUUUCGGCAGAGUAUGUCUGCCUGAGAGCCAGAAACACAUGCCACGUGGGAGUCACGUGCGAGGUGGAGGUAUGGAGCCAUUCCUCCCAAGAGCGAGAGGCUGCCGCGAGACAAACAGCACAGCUGUGGUCGUGGGUGGUCGUGGGCAAAGCCCGUAACAUGGUCUCAGGUCAGGCAAGACUACCCGCUGAACUUAA